AACCAGUAUUAGAGGCACUGCCUGCCCAGUGACUAAUCGUUAAACGGCCGCGGUAUCCUGACCGUGCAAAGGUAGCAUAAUCACUUGUUCUCUAAAUAAGGACUUGUAUGAAUGGCCACACGAGGGUUUUACUGUCUCUUACUUUUAAUCAGUGAAAUUGACCUCCCCGUGCAGAGGCGGGGAUAACAAAACAAGACGAGAAGACCCUAUGGAGCUUCAAUUAAUCAACCCAAAAAGCCACAAUCUAAACCACCAAGGGAUAAAAAAGCUUCAUAUGGGCUGACAAUUUCGGUUGGGGCGACCUCGGAGUAUAAAAACCCCUCCGAGUGAUUAAAGCCUAGGCCUACUAGCCAAAGCAUAAUAUCACUUAUUGAUCCAAAAUAUUGAUCAACGGAACAAGUUACCCUAGGGAUAACAGCGCAAUCCUAUUCUAGAGUCCAUAUCGACAAUAGGGUUUACGACCUCGAUGUUGGAUCAGGACAUCCUAAUGGUGCAGCCGCUAUUAAGGGUUCGUUUGUU
rnacentral:rRNA from 1 species